UACAUGGGGUGCAAACGUUGCUCGGAAUUAUUGGGCGUAAAGCGCACGUAGGCGGUUCGUUAAGUCGGAUGUGAAAGCCCUCGGCUCAACUGAGGAAGUGCACCCGAAACUGGCGAGCUUGAGUACGAAAGAGGAUCGCGGAAUUCCCGGUGUAGAGGUGAAAUUCGUAGAUAUUGGGAAGAACACCGGUGGCGAAGGCGGCUCUCUGGACCGUAACUGACGCUGAGGCGCGAAAGCGUGGGGAGCAAACAGG
rnacentral:rRNA from 1 species